AGUGAACGCUGGCGGUAGGCCUAACACAUGCAAGUCGAACGGCAGCACAGUAAGAGCUUGCUCUUACGGGUGGCGAGUGGCGGACGGGUGAGGAAUACAUCGGAAUCUACUUUUUCGUGGGGGAUAACGUAGGGAAACUUACGCUAAUACCGCAUACGACCUACGGGUGAAAGCAGGGGAUCUUCGGACCUUGCGCGAUUGAAUGAGCCGAUGUCGGAUUAGCUAGUUGGCGGGGUAAAGGCCCACCAAGGCGACGAUCCGUAGCUGGUCUGAGAGGAUGAUCAGCCACACUGGAACUGAGACACGGUCCAGACUCCUACGGGAGGCAGCAGUGGGGAAUAUUGGACAAUGGGCGCAAGCCUGAUCCAGCCAUACCGCGUGGGUGAAGAAGGCCUUCGGGUUGUAAAGCCCUUUUGUUGGGAAAGAAAAGCAGCAGGUUAAUACCCCGAUGUGCUGACGGUACCCAAAGAAUAAGCACCGGCUAACUUCGUG
rnacentral:rRNA from 1 species